rnacentral:rRNA from 1 species
UUGGAGGGCAAGUCUGGUGCCAGCAGCCGCGGUAAUUCCAGCUCCAAUAGCGUAUAUUAAAGUUGUUGCAGUUAAAAAGCUCGUAGUUGAAUUUCGGGAUUAGUACGUCGGUCGUGCCUUAGGUACGUACUGGUGUUACUGGUUCCUACCUUCUGACGAACCAUCAUGUCAUUAAUUUGGUGUGGUGGGGAAUCAGGGCUGUUACUUUGAAAAAAUUAGAGUGUUUAAAGCAGGCUCGCGCUUGAAUACAUUAGCAUGGAAUAAUGAAAUAGGACGUUGAUCCUAUUUUGUUGGUUUCUAGGAUUGACGUAAUGAUUAAUAGGGAUAGUUGGGGGCAUUAGUAUUCAAUUGUCAGAGGUGAAAUUCUUGGAUUUAUUGAAGACUAACUACUGCGAAAGCAUUUGCCAAGGAUGUUUUCAUUAAUCAAGAACGAAAGUUAGGGGAUCGAAGACGAUCAGAUACCGUCGUAGUCUUAACCAUAAACUAUGCCGACUAGGGAUCGGAUGAUGUUAUUUUUAAUGACUCAUUCGGCGCCUUACGGGAAAC